rnacentral:rRNA from 1 species
AUAGCGUAUAUUAAAGUUGUUGCAGUUAAAAAGCUCGUAGUUGAAUUUUGGGCCCGACUGAGUGGUCUUGCCUCGUGUAAGCACUGCUCCGGUUGGGUCUUUCCUUCUGGCUAACCAGCUGCCUUUCAUUGGGUCGGCUGGGGCUCCAGGACUUUUACUUUGAAAAAAUUAGAGUGUUCAAAGCAGGCAUUUUUUAGCUUGAAUACAUUAGCAUGGAAUAAUAAAAUAGGACUUUGGUUCUAUUUUGUUGGCUUCUAGGACCGAAGUAAUGAUUAAUAGGGAUAGUUGGGGACGUUAGUAUUUAGUUGUCAGAGGUGAAAUUCUUAGAUUUA